rnacentral:rRNA from 1 species
UACGUAGGGUGCAAGCGUUGUCCGGAAUUAUUGGGCGUAAAGAGCUCGUAGGCGGUUUGUUGCGUCGGCUGUGAAAUCCCGAGGCUCAACCUCGGGUCUGCAGUCGAUACGAGCAAACUAGAGUGUUGCAGGGGAGACUGGAAUUCCUGGUGUAGCGGUGAAAUGCGCAGAUAUCAGGGAGGAACACCGGUGGCGAAGGCGGGUCUCUGGGCCGAUACUGACACUGAGGAGCGAAAGCGUGGGGAGCGAACAGG